CCGACAUGGAUAUCCAGCGAGGUUGCUCUCCUGGCUCUGUCCUUGUGGCGUAUGGGAGCGUAGCGUUCAGCUGAGACGUAAAGUCCCGUUCCACGAUGUCGGAGAUUAAGCUCUUCUCCAGAGAUGGGCGUCCUGUAUAUUCCUACAUCUUCCCAGAGUCCUUUGGGGCCAUUACUGGGGGGCUAAACCAUGCAGUGCACAUUG